CAGUUAAUUUCAGUGAUAUUCUCAACCGACGUUACAUGUGUGGCUUCCAGUUUGAUGAUAAUAUCUCAGGCUAUGAGGGUGAUUUGUCAAUUACAAUCCCUCUGAAAGGGUUCAGUGGCCUGCGACUAGUAUCAGAUGGUGAAGGCUUUACAGCCUUGCAGAUAAAGAAUAUAUCAGCUUGGGAACAGAAUUGGCCUUUAAAGUACACGCGAUU
rnacentral:sRNA from 2 species